rnacentral:rRNA from 1 species
AUUGAACGCUAGCGGCAGGCCUAACACAUGCAAGUCGAACGAGUGGCGGACGGGUGAGUAAUGUCUGGGAAACUGCCUGAUGGAGGGGGAUAACUACUGGAAACGGUAGCUAAUACCGCAUACCAUCAGAUGUGCCCAGAUGGGUUUAGCUAGUAGGUGGGGUAAUGGCUCACCUAGGCGACGAUCCCUAGCUGGGCUGAGAGGAUGACCAGCCACACUGGAACUGAGACACGGUCCAGACUCCUACGGGAGGCAGCAGUGGGGAAUAUUGCACAAUGGUCGCAAGCCUGAUGCAGCCAGGCCGCGUGUGUGAAGAAGGCCUUCGGGUUGUAAAGCACUUUCAGCGAGGAGGCGUUACUCGCAGAAGAAGCACCGGCUAACUCCGUGCCAGCCGCCGCGGUAAUAC